UGCAUGUUGGGAAAUAUUUCUACUGAUGUGUUUUUUUUCUUAUUUAGUGCCACAGUUCAACACACCAAGUUCAGGCACAUUGUUAUCUCCGAGAAGAUGCCUUUUUGUUCCAGAUUAACUGUGUUGCAAUUUGGACGAAAACUAAUCAGCUUGCUUCCUGUAUCUCUUGCUGUGUCUACUUUACCUGGAGUCUGGAAGUUGAUUCUGCGUAGCUCCACAGGGUCAGUGGGAUGGUGGGACGACAUGGCUUUGCUGCAGGGGAAACUGCCCUUCCUGCCUUCGGCCUCUGCCCUUUUCCUGGAAUAACAGAUCAACACACAGCGUUUACCUGAUGAACUGAACCUUUUACUGCAUGAAAAAAAGGCUGAAUGAGGGGAAAUGUGGGGAUUAGUAAACGUACGCAUAGCUGCAAUUCUGGGGAUUUUGUGUUUGAAUAAAUGGACCAGAGUGAGCCACAUAAAAUUUCUCCUUGGACAUUUACAGGGAUAGCUGUAAUUUUCAGGAAAUUUCUGUUUCAAAUUCUACCAGAGCUUUGGUUGACUGCUGGUUUAGUGCUUUUUAUAUGUUAAUGACUGGGUCAUUGGCUGGGAAGGAGAUGGGUGUCUGCUUUUUCACACUGACUGUGGCAGAGACUGUCAGGCUUAUCUAUGUAAUCUAUUGUCACAUUUUCUUUCCUUCUUUUAGUUAAAAUCAUUUGCAUGAACAAACUUUGCAGUGCAGUAUCAAUAUUUACAAUUGUAUAACUUCCAGAUUACAAUUGAUCCAGUACACUGUAGAUUACUAUGCAAUCAAAGCAACAUCAAGUGAAUCCUGACACUAAUGGGAUCCAUUAUCCAAAGCAUUCUUUGCAAAGGCUUUCUAAAGAAAACACCCCUGUAGGACAGAGGAAAUGGUAAUAGGUGGUGUUUGUUUACCUGUCAGGUUUGCUGGAUCCAAACAGGGAGAAGAGCAGAUAAAAAAACAAAACAGACAAGGAUGAAUAACAUUAGUGUCCAAUCAAAAAACAUCAGGGACAACAGGGCUGAACUUGAACUUCAUCAUUAAAACUAGUUUAGUUGUUAAAAAGAACCUCCUACAGACACAAACAUAAGCCUGAUCCCAUACACACCACAUACACAUCAUCUCACAGUGCACCCUCUAACUGUGACAUCUUCUAUAUAACAAAAAAGUGGAAAUAUGUAGCAAAAUGCAAAUUGGCCACAAGUGGGACUUUAAUGGCUGUGGAUCACCACAGGUUACACUCCAGGGUUUAUGAACAUAUUAUUACAACCAAGGUUAAUACUUUUGCAAUGCCACAAUCAGUCACAGCAAUUUAUUAUGUGCAUUAACAUAGCUCUAGCCAGAAGAACAGAUGAUUAUUAUGAAUAAUGCUAGUGGGUGAUAAUGUUAUCAUCCCCUAUCUGGUUUGUUGGCUAACUUCCUGUAUAUAGAGUUUAAGAACAGAUUACAGAAAAAACAGCGUUGAGAACUUGUGUUUCAUAAAUAAUAAUCUUCUAUUAUGACUACUUCAUGUAGCCCUAUCAAUUCUUUCUGACAUUAGAAUAGACUGGGGACACUGAGAAGGGGGCGCAUAGUGUCAGACUUUGACACACAUAUUUUGAGUUGAAUACAGAGAGGAGAAACAAGCCAAAUUGGAAAUGAAAACAAGUUAAUCCCUAUUGAGUAUCUGUUGCCCCUCUGUGAAGAUGUAAGCUGCCUUCAUAAUUAUUUUUCUUUACCUCAUAUUCACCAAAACGCUUAAUCUUUCACCCUGUCUCUUCAUGAUUUCCUUCUCCCUUCUCUCACCAAUCCAAUACUUGAUUAAACCAUUUAAAAAUCUUCCUGGCUCCAUCAAGUUGCCCUUACCUCUUGAAGAGGAGAAUGGCGAUGACGAUGCAGACAAUGAAGAUGACAGCCAGCACAGGCCCCACCACCCACAAUAGACCCUCUUCCUCAUCUACGAUCGGCUGAGGAUCCACAUCCGAUGAGGUCACGGGGUCAGAAUAGGGGCUAGUGGCGUACAUAGUCUGGAGGACGAAGUGGUUUUAGUGCAUUUUUGCAUAUAAAUUAAACAAAACUGCAUUUAGA